GCUCGCUUGGUGAAAUAGGUAAACACAGCAGACUCAAAACCUGCACCCACUGGGUUAUCGGUUCAAGUCCGAUAGUGAGUA
rnacentral:tRNA from 1 species